rnacentral:misc_RNA from 1 species
UUGUGGAGGAGGACGCCGGAGGUGGGGCUAAUGACUGGGGUGAAGUCGUAACAAGGUAGCCGUACCGGAAGGUGCGGCUGGAUCACCUCCUAACAGGGAGACAACAAAAUGUUUAAUAUUAUUAUUUUGUCACCUUAGGUCGAUCUGUAUCUCACAUUCUUAAUUUAUUAAGGAUUUUAUUUCCUAAGUUUUUUCUAGGUCACACCCAUUACUUUUCCUGGGCCAUUAGCUCAGGUGGUUAGAGCGCACCCCUGAUAAGGGUGGGGUCCCUGGUUCAAGUCCAGGAUGGCCCAUAUCUCUAUGUUGGGGGUAUAGCUCAGUUGGUAGAGCGCCUGCUUUGCAAGCAGGAUGUCAGCGGUUCGAGUCCGCUUACCUCCACUGAUUACCACCUCUUUCAUAAUUUUUAUUAAGGAAAUGUUUUGAGUAGUGAUCAAAUUCUGAACGAAUCUAGCUUCCUAAUGAAUUCAUUAAGAUGCUGGACUCAUUGAAUUAAUUUCAUUGUUUUCAGAGAACCUUGACAACUGCAUAGAUUAUUUUUAAAGACAAUAAGCAUCUUUUAUGAUGCAGAUUUAUUAUUUGUGCGAAUGCAUUAAUAACAAUUCUAUUAAGCUGAUGCUUCAAUUAUGAAGUUAUUGGUCAAGCUACAA